rnacentral:lncRNA from 1 species
ACUGGACGUGGAGGGGUAUUCGCAUAUUUUACACGCACUGUGGAGGACUCAAUAUAAAAUAUCGAGUUUUGGGAGGGCUUUUCCGCAACUGGAGCCUUUAUAUAUAUUUAGCUCCUAGGGUUUUUGAUCCACCUAACCCUAACCCUAGCCCCCAGCUGCCCUAGCCGCACCCUGCCACCUUCAUCUCCCACUUUCCUGCCCCUGCCGCAUACCACGGCCGUCGCCGACUGAUCCCCGGCCGGCCAACCGCCGCCGCAACCUAGAUCUCCUUCCCUCUCCAUCCCUCUCCCUCCAUCUCUCUCUUCCUCUCGAGUUGAGGCAGGUUUGAGGCUGCAUUGCCUCCUUGCACCCUGCCGGCGUAGCCCCGACCCCUAUCGGACUUUCCCCCGUCGGCCGCCGCCGCCCUGAGCGCCGCCACGCCGCGCUGAAGCUCCUGGGACAGCUAAUCCGAGCCCAGGCCGAGGUGAACUCGCGGCCUCCCCGCGCGUAGCCACUGCCUGAGCCCGCUCCCGCCGACAUUCCUGGACCCUCGGCGACCCUUCCCGCCGGUCGCCGUCGCCCUUGCGAGCAGCCGCCGCCGCCUCGGCCAGCCCGCGGCCGCUCCAGGUUUGCUCGGGCCGAGGUUGGCUUGCGGUUCCAUCCUCGCGCCGCCGCCACCGUCGCCGCCCGGGGCCACCCCAACGUGAUCCCUCCUGUCUCUAGAGAUCGCCCGCCGUCGCCCCUGGGAGCUCCGGCCGCCGCCGUGUCCGCCGUCAUCUCUGGACCCGAGCCCUAGCUCGUGUGGGCUUGCCUUGUUCCGCCGCCGCCGCUACUUCCAAUCGCCACCCGAGGUGAGCUUGGUACUCCUCGCCUUCCCCGCAACCUUCCCUGGCCCGUGCGCACCUCGUCGUGCCGCCGGUGGCCGGCCGGAGCAAGCUUGCUCCGGCCAAGCCCGAAAUAGCGCUUAGUUGAGUAGGUUUGCUGUUCCGAGCUACCCGAGGCUCCCCGACCUCUGCGGAAGGGAGCACAGUGAUUCUAGCAAGUUGCUGAUCAUCGUGCUUACCUUAGAUGCUGUCGGGGAGACUCCGUUCCGCUGUUUUGGCAGUGUCGACCCUGUUGAGCUUUUUCAGCUGCUGUUCCGUGCUUACGCGCGUUUUUCCGACGAUCCGAGACUGUUUCGAUGCCUCCGGAGGUGAGCACGGUGAUUGUUGGUCAGUUCUGAUCACAGUGCUUACCUUACUUUGGAUCAGUGGAUGUCGUAUCGGCUUGUUCGGCGCAAUUUUCCCCGACUGCGCGCUGUUCGCUGAACCUUCCGGUUGCUCCCGCGCUUCCCACAGUGAGCCGUUGCGCUCCGGACCAUGAGAACGGCCUUUGGCACGUCGAGACCUGUCAGUACGUGUCUCAGCGGACCUUAGAAGUUCUCGGUUUGCAUGAACGAGCCACUUAAUUGCCGGAAUUACAUAAAAUGAUAGAAUUUUAUUGAAAUUAAGGGGCUUUUAUGUAAUUGUGCACCUUGUGGCUACUGUGGGCAGUGCACGUCCGUGUGUGGAGACCUCUGGACUGAUUGUCCAUGAUCCGAUAGCAUUUGCGGAAAUCGAGGAGUCGAUUUCGGUGCGUUUUUCGGCGAAAUUGGCCGAAAGAAUGCGGUUUCGGUUCGGAUUUCUUCCGACGUGGUUUGGUUGCCCUGUGAGUUGUCACUGAGCCUUGUCGGCUGGUCACUAUCAUCAUAUAGGGGGUUCGAUGAUGAUGGGUGAGUGAUGGAGGGUUCCGGUGUCGAAAUAGACGCUUCCGGGAACCCGAAUUUGUACAAUUAUCCGGCGAUAAUUGUAUAGUAGUGUUACCUUAUGUUUGCUGCCAAGACAUCCAAAUCAGAGUGAUUUGUGGCAGCGGGUAACUCGUGAUACGAGUUGGUGAGUUUCGGUACACUUAGUGGGUCCCGAUAGAUUUCGGUGUGGUUUUUGGGACUUCCGGUGAGUUACGGUGAUCGAUUUUGGGAAACCGAUUCGGGGACUUGUGUGGGGGUUUGUGAGUCUCGUACUUUGGGUUAGUGGGUUGGUUACUGACCUGGCGGACCUUCGUAGGUCCGGUUGACGAUCGUGUACAGUUGGGAGACAGGUGCGACACUAGUACAGGUGGGUGCUUCGAGCUGGUAGUCGGUAAGAUCGUUUCAUCCUUCUUCUGUUCUUUCAUAUCAGUAUUGUAGUCUCUACAUGUCUUUGCUUUGAUUAUCAUUCGUAUAUCUUACUUUGUUGGUUGCAUUUUGUUAGUUGUUGAUAGACAUGUAGAGCAGGUUGCAUAUAUAUAUUGUAUAUAUCUGUGGACCUUGGGUCUAGGCAACACAUCGACUCCUUUGUUCUGUGUUUCGAUCUGGUUGAUCGUGAUUCGGCGUUGGACCCCCUUGCACCUGGCUUCGGCCAAGGCACCGGUCUCUUUUUGCCGGUCUUCGUUUUGAGCAUAUCAGCAUGAUUUAGUCACAGCACUGUGUAUUCUAGACACCAGGUUGGUUUGGCCACUAAGGGGUGUACGUAUCCGGAUAGGUCGUCGGUGACGCAUGAAUAAGUUGCCAGUGUCUGCUCUGUGACAGGUAACGCUUGAGGUCUGCGGACCAAUAUAGCAACAUCAGAUUGGGUUUGGUUUGGACUAUUUACCCUUGAGGCAUCCGAUCAGUUGAGUUUUUGGUUACAGUAGUAGUUUCGUUCUUGUUUAGUUAUUAUCCUGUUUCUAUUACUACUGUAGUUGCUCUUAUAUCACAUCAUGCUCAUAUCUGUAGUUCUGUUUCAUAUCAGCAUAUAUAUUUGUUUAUCUAUCUCUUUUGGUUUCCGGUGAUUACGACUUGCCUUCGUGGCUUUGUGGUACCCACUGAAAAACCAUGGUUGCGGUUUCUCACCCCCCAUUCCCCCCAGGUGACAUGGACGAGGAGUUAGAUUUUGGGCUCGACAGGAGGACGAUCUAGCUAGUCUGGUAUAGCAACCGUCACCCUGGUUACUUUCAUUUCGGCACUUAGUAGUUUUAAUAAUAAAUAGUUCAGUUAGACGAUCCUCAUGUUUGUUUGAAUGUUGAUGAUUUGGCUUCAGUGGAUCUGUGAUGUUUUCCUUAUGUAUGUGAUUUUAGAUUGUAGAUUUGUGGAUAUGGUUUUAUAGAUAUUCAGUUUAUGCAUUUAUGUCUUUAUGCAUUGUGGUUUUCUACCCCUCGAGGUAGCCGGUUUUCAAAAUAGAGUUUUCGAGUGGGGAAACAGUUUUAAAAAGGUUUUCGAAUGAUUUUCAUGAAUGAAUGAAUUAGAGUUUAAAAACAAAAGCUUCCGUGUGGGGAGCACUUUUAAAUAGGAUGUUUGUUGUAUUGUGCAUUGCAUCAUCCAGCGCAGAUCACGCAGCGCGGCAGCCUGGCGGCCGGAAUCCAGUCCUCCCCACUGAUGUAGAUUGGGCACAGUCCUCGCGACUGGUCCGGUGUCUUCGGACUGUCUCGGUUCGGCUUCCCUAAGUGCGCACUGACUCGGCACCCUCAGCCGCAGGGCCCUCUUGCCUUUGCCUUUGCCAAGGAUCCUCUCGCGAUCUGAUAGAUCCGCUGCUGCCACUCUCACUAUGAGUGCUCGGUGGGGGCACAAGCCUCCGGUAGCGUUUGGAGGUUGGAAGACUUAACAAAUCAGAAGAUCGAAGGCGCAAUCCCCGCUCAAAGAUGUCGGGCCUAUGUCCUCGUCUCCGAACAACGAAAGGACGCAAUGAAGAAGCGGGGAACCUCUCUCUCGUACUCGGGCCACAGGUUCUGUCUCCUUGGAGCAGGUUGCGCAUCCUGUUCCAUCUUCCUCUUGACAUGUCAGGAGAAAGUAAUGCGUCCAGCAAGGAGUUCCUUGAACUCUCCAAGUAAUCGCCCGUCAAAUCCAUGCUGGGGUUGUCCUGGAGGUCCAACCCAUCUGUAGGCCCUCGCCGUUCAAAUGAUGUGUGGCGAGCCCACUCUAUCCCUCUCCUCGACAAAGGUAUCACGAAAACAAGCUUCCCUGUGCAUUAGCAAUUUUCUCACAUUCAAUGAUCCACGUUCUUCCCCGUCAAAGGUCUGGGGCUGAUUCCUGAACUCACUGAGAUGCUCCAUAAGCGAUCCCGCUCAGCUCUCUCACCAUCACGGGGAAAACCGCCCCCGCUACAGUAUGCUCCGCGCCGGUGGUUGCCAUUUUUUACCGUCCCACCGCUGUCCUCUCCCCGAUGGUGCCUGCGCUGGUGCUCCGGGAAGGCGGGGGGUCGAGUGCAGGAACGACACCCUGGGCGCGCAACACUCCACGGGGUGCGGGUUUGUAGGGAUCUGAGUCUCCCUGGCAACCGCCUGCUGCAGCAGAAGGUCCUCUAGGCCGCUUCAUCCGCAAUUCGGUCGAGACCGCCAUGUCGGCUUCCGGCCACAAAUCAGUGAGCGGUGCAGCUGACCCUUAAUCCGGACCUCGCCGGAUCGAGGGGUCAGCGAAGGUCUCAUGCCUCUCCGAACCUGUGCCGCAUUGUCCGCCCUCAGGAUCUGAACGAGCGCGUAAUCGGGCAUCCGUCACUACAAAACAUAAAAACGCAAGUUAGUAACACGCGCUAUCGAAUCCCCGCCUCAAUAACAAUACCCAAAUCUAUGCGUAAAGUUAAGGGAAGGUGUUUAUCACAAAUACUCCCGAUGUUUCGUUGUCGGCCGGCCAACGUAACCCUCCGCCGAAUGUUAGAAAGCCAUACAUCCGCAUUAAACUCUAUAACUUUUUAGAAGUUGUCAUAAACCCAAUCAUAAUACUUUCGCUUCACAAGUCAAAUAGACCUCGGCUCUUACGAGCCUAUUUCCUAUAGUCAAACUGGCCUAAGGAUUACUAGUGUCUCUAAGAUCAACCCAUAUGCUCGUGAUACCAAAUUAAUCUGUCACGCCCCAGCGGACCGGCAGAGCCCGUCUCGGCGCCGCGCCCAGACCCGCCCAUAUGUCGAUACACAUUAUAAGGCGUCCUACAACAAUGCGAAAAAUGGAAAGCAAGAAAGCAAAAGAGUCUUAACGAUGAUCAGAGCAAAGUGAAUAAUCUAAGUUCUACACAGGAGGGGUAAAGUAUUAAAGAUGAUAAUCCACAGAUAAAGACAUUAGAGUGGUACAAAGAAAAUCCCAAACUGCAAAACUUAUCAUAAAUGUAUAGUGUUGUGUAUUGCGGUCUAUACGUAUGGUUCUCAAAAUCUCUCUCUUCAUACAAAAAGGGUAGAGUAACAACUAAGCUACACGUAAGCUCCCACUAACUCCGACGCGAUCGCCUUGCCCGAUCCGUGCCUCCGCCGAUGCGAAGGCUCUGAAAAAAACAACAUCAAGAAAAAGAUGGUAGCGUGAGAACUAUAUUUAUAGUUCCCAGUGGGCAAUAACUGACCUGGCUCAAUGCACCACUAGGCCCAAAAAGAAAAGGGUAAGUCCAAAAUGAACAAUAAAAUAAAUGGUUUGAAUUUAAGAAGUAUGGAUUAAAAUGCUAAACUACUAAGUGCAAAAUAAACAUGAUGUCAAAUAUGUUAGUACAUCUACUUUCAUCACAAACGAAGUAUCCAUGCCAUGACUAAUAUUGCCCCAACACAUAACGAGCAAGUAGUUCAGUGAAUCCACUAUAUCAAUGUAUGAUGAAAUGCUCUAUCAUGGCGGGCGGGGGGAGGGGAGGGGCUAGUAAGUUACUAUGAUGCAAUAAAAUAGACUUGUAUACUACAAGUCCCACGCUAUAUGCUAUAACGUAUGUCAAGGUAUUCCAACUACUUAAAUCUAUCUAUUGUAGUGAAAAUAGUCCAGUUUCCGGAUUCAAUAUCAUUUAUUUCAACAUGUUCUGGACCUUACAUUAUUGUAAGUCCUAGCUUGCACCUAAUGCGGUGGUAGCUCCCAGCAUUCCCACUAUAGGAAUGAGUCUAUCCCUCCCGACCCCGUAGGUUUCUCGAUACCGGACGAGCGAAUAUAAAUCGCGUGGCAACUCCGGAGUGCCGGCUUAUACAGAACGACCCUCACAAAGAUGUGCGAAUGAGCACAAAUGGCAAGUAAGGUAGUCAAAAAAAAAAACCCCUCCCCCCCCUUCAACUACAUCGAUCAUCAUGUCCUUCUAACAUGGAAAUAUGUCACUAGCAUUCUCAAAGAUCUAGCGCUAGGCUCACAAUGUGAAGCUUCCAACAUCAUCUAUAGACUCUAGCGUCUCUUUUAUGGACAACUAAGUUGUUAUAAGUCAACAAUUUCUGAUCUAUGCUCCCAUUCAUGACUUUAGUACUAGGUCUCUAUUUAUCCGGAGCUCAAUGCCCCUUUAUGACAUUAGGGGCCCAAUUAUUAACAAGUGGUACAAGAUUCCGCGAGCCUCCUUGUGGGCUUGGAUGUAAUAGUUCAAUAUCCAAUGAGCGUCUAAUCCAUAGGCCACUUUACGUUACGUCAUUUUACUACGGUAAACAUGAACCCAAGUUCUCAAAGAAUGCUAAUGCACAUAUACGCUCACAUGCAAGUUCUCUACUUAAAGAGUCUAAAAUACAGUGUAUGUAAACAUAGCAGCAUUAUUAAGCAUUCUAAAAUUCAUAAUAAUAUUAUCUAAACAUGAUUAUGCAUGCUUUAUGAAUUUAACGAUACUCAAAUCAGCAUAAAUGAGGUUUUUCAUGUCUUGGCUAGUGUCAAAACCCACCGACAUCUCGGAUCUACGUUUCGCCCAAUUUGUUUGCUCCACGAGUCUACUUAAGUACCCUGAAAAGUAAGGAGCAAGACGAUACACAAGCGUAUGACGAAGCAACUCUAGGCUUAACAUUAAACCAUGCCAAGCAAAAGGGCAAAACUCAUCCUAGGGAGUAGAAAAUCUCUCUCAAGCUCCAAAAGAGAGCUUAAGCCUUUUCCAAUCCAACCCAGAAGAAGGUUUUAAAUCCAUAUUAAUUUAGCUCAAAAGCGCCCUAAAUUCAAAAUGCCAAAAUUCAACCCUAAACUCCAUUGCUAGGUUUCAUCUCAAGAAAACCUUUUCAAUUCAUGAAAUCUAGAGAAAGGAAUCAAGUCACUUCCUUAAGAGACUUGUUCAAUCCAAGCCUCAAAAACCCUCUAGGUUCAAGAUCUUCCCUCAACUAGCCCUCCAAAUCCAAGCUCCAAGCUUCAACCAUGGAGGAAAAGGCAUAAAAAGGGGAAGGAAGGAUCAAGCCACCAAAAAACACAAGCCAGAAUAAAGAAGAAGCGGAAUGGAAGGUGUGGAAGGGUCCUUUACCUCUUCGCCUGUUGUUCCAAGCUCAUGGAACAGCCCUGGGCGUGGUGGUUGGUAAUAUAGAGAAGCCAAUAUUGCAAAACAACCCGUGCAGUUUCGACCAUUCAGCAAACUGUCACUGCGUACGGUACACGGGCACGCGUACCGGAUUAUACCUCCCACGAAAAAUGCAAACCCUAGCCUCGGAGUUGGCUGCUGGAAGCGGUCUGUUGACCGUGCUACACCAGACCGCCACCGGUACCAACCAUAACCCUAUACCGGACACGCCAUCACCCAGUACGCCGUACACGGCCUUGCUUAGGCUACCGAGAACUUGACGCCAAAUCAUCGACUUUUCGGGUUUUGGUGCAAAGCCUUUAAACCUCCACUUUCUUGAAUUCCGAUCCAAUAGGUCGAGAACACUGUCUACGACCACCAGAAAGUCUGAAAAAAACUAAGAACACAUCCAAUCACUCGGAACCUCGCAAUUUGCAAAGGAUCCAGUGUGUUACAACCAAUAAAGCAACUUUAAGUCCUUAUACAUCUUGGUGCCUCCCGGAUAUAUAGCAAACGGUGCUCGGUGUGCCUCUUGAAGAAUUUCUUCUCUAAGUGCCGGUUCCGCCGGUACACAGAUCCGUCCACGGAAGCGCAUCAGUCCAACACCGUCCACAGAAAAGUCACCGGUGCAACCAUCAAUCAUCUUAGCUCGAAUCCUUUGCAACUCCACAUCGGAGACUUGCUUUUUUUUAAUCCUUUACACAACAGUAGGUUGCACCAUCAAAGUCAUCAGUCUCAAAGGUAUAUCAGGAGCCACCAUCUCCAACUCCAACCGCUUCAUCUGCUCGAUCAACGGCGGUUGAGUAACCACAAGCAUCUCUAAGUUUUCCGUCGAUUUCCUACUUAGCGCAUCCGCCACCACGUUAGCUUUGCCCGGGUGGUAAAGUAUCGUCAAAUCGUAAUCCUUGAGAAGCUCCAACCAUCUGCGCUGCCUCAAGUUCAACUCCUUCUGAGUGAAUAAAUACUUUAGACUCUUGUGAUCCGUAUAUACUUCGCAUCGCUCGCCAUACAGAUAAUGGCGCCAUAGCUUCAAUGCAAAGACCAUGGCUGCCAAUUCCAAAUCAUGAGUAGGGUAGUUUCUUUCAUAAUCCUUCAACUCGCGAGAUGCAUACGCGAUCACUUUCCCGUCCUGCAUCAAGACACAACCCAAUCCAUUAAAGGAAGCAUCACUAUAAAUCACAUACCCUGCUCCAGCAGUUGGCAAAGUUAGGAUCGGGGCGGUCGUCAAUCUCUGCUUCAACUCUUGAAAGCUCCUUUCGCACGCAUCAUUCCAAACAAACUUGGUGCCCUUAUACGUGAGCCUCGUGAGGGGAGUAGACAACUUUGCAAAUCCCUCAACAAACCGUCGGUAGUAGCCGGCCAAACCAAUGAAGCUCCGUAUCUCGGUCACACUCGUAGGCCUCGGCCAAUCCUUGAUAGCUUCAAUUUUUCUAGGAUCCACGGCUAUACCUAAUCCUGAAAUCAAGUGGCCCAAAAAUGCCACCUCUCUAAGCCAAAACUCACACUUCUUCAACUUGGCGUAGAUCUUCUUUCCGAAGCACUUGAAGUACAAGUCUCAAGUGUUCCUCGUGAUCCGCAUCAAUUCGGGAAUAGACCAAAAUGUCGUCGAUGAAUACUACGACGAACCUGUCUAGAUAAGGCUUGAAAACACGGUUCAUUAGAUCCAUAAAAGCCGCCGGGGCAUUAUUAAGCCCAAACGGCAUAACGGUAAACUCAUAAUGCCCAUAACGUGUUCUAAAAGCCAUCUUCGACACAUCCUCAGGCUUGAUCUUCAGCUGGUGAUAUCCCGACUGUAAGUCGAUCUUGGAAUACACACUAGAUUCCUAGAGCUGAUCAAAUAAAUCAUCAAUCCUCGGCAAUGGAUACUUAUUCUUGAUCGUGACUUUGUUGAGUUCACGAUAAUCCACGCACAAGCGAAGCGAUCCAUCAUUCUUCUUGACAAAUAGGACCGGUGCUCCCCAAGGUGACACACUCGGUUGCAAAAAUCCCUUGUCCAGAAGGUCUUGCAGCUGUGCCUUCAGCUCCUUCAAUUCCGCCGGUGCCAUCCUAUAGGGUGCUUUUGAGAUUGUAGUCCUGGGGACGAGAUCUACCACAAACUCAAUCUCCCUAUCAGGUGGCAUGCCUGGUAACUCCGCUGGAAACACAUCUCCAAACUCCCGCACGACGGGGAUGUCCUCAAUCCUAGGGGCGUCUGCAUCGCCCCGGAACACAAUAGUAGCCAAGUAGGCCACGCAGCCUCUGAUGAUCAACUGUUUAGCUCGAGAGGAGCUAAUCGUUAUCGCAAACAGCGAACUCUGGCAUCCUCGGUACACAACCUCCGCCUGCCCCGGCUCUCUAAACGUCACAGUUCGAUUCUUGCGAUCAAUAGUGGCGUAGUACUUCGUCAACCAGUCCAUGCCCAAAACAACAUCAAACUCUCCAAGUUUAUGCAAAGCUAGCAAGUCCACGGGCAUGACCCAAUCACCAACCCGAACAAGGCAACGGGGGCAAAACUCUCGAAUAUCCAAAGAGUGAUCGGGUACAACAACUCGUCCCGAAUGCAGCAAAGAUGUCAAUGGGAUGCCAUGCAACUCGGCAAACAGUCGGUCUAUGAAUGAAUGCGAUGCACCGGUAUCAAAUAAUGCUCGAACUCGAAUACCAUAAACUAAAAUGAUACCUACGACCACAUUCUUGGCUGCCGCCGCCUCCUCAGUCUGGGCCGCGUACAUGCGCCAACUUGGGGCCUGUCGUGACCCUUCUGCCUGCCGCUACACUGGCGGCCCUCCAGCCUGGUGAUGCGCAGAAGGUGUCCCCUGGCUGGGACCCAGUAAAGCUGGUGCAGAUGCCGAAGAAGGCGCUGGUGCUGGACUCCUCGGACGGUCCGACUGGAAGUAGCCCUCCUGGCCACACAGGUAGCACCUGCCCCGACUGCGUGAACACUGCCGUGGAAAAUGGGGACCACCGCAGAUCACGCAGCGCGGAGCCUGGCGCCGAUCAGGUCCUCCCCACUGAGUAGAUUGGCCACGUCCUCGCGACUGGCUCCGGUGUCUCGGAUGUCUCGGCGGCUUCCCUAAGUGCGCCUGACUCGCACCCUCAGCCGCAGGCCUCUUGCCUUUGCCUUUGUCCAAGGCCUCUCGCCGCUCCUGUAGAUCCGCUGCUCCACUCUCUACUAUGAGUGCUCGGUUCACAACCUCCCGGUAGGUUUGGAGGUUGGAAGACUCAACAAAUCAGAAGAUCGAAGGCCGCAAUCCCCGCUCAAAGAUGCGGGCCUUGUCCUCGUCGUCCCGAACAACGAAGGGCACGCAAUGAAGAAGCCGGGAGAACUCUCUCUCGUACUCGGCCACAGUUCUGUCUCCUUGGAGCAGGUUGCGCAGAUCCUGUUCCAUCUUCCUCUUGACACUGUCAGAGAAGUAAUGCUCCAGCAGGAGUUCCUUGAACCUCCUCCAAGUAAUCGCCGUCAAAUCCAUGCUGGGGUUGUCCUGGAUGUCCAACCACCAUCUGUAGGCCUCGCCGUUCAAAUGAUGUGUGGCGAGCCACACUCUAUCCCUCUCCUCGACAAAGGUAUCCCGAAACAGCUUCUCCAUGUGCAUAAGCCAUUUCUCCACGAUCCAAUGAUCCACGUUCUCCCCGUCAAAGGUCUGGGGGCUGCAUCUCCUGAACUCACUGAGAUGCUCCAUAAGCCGAUCCCGCUCAGCUCCCUCAACCAUCACGGGGAAAACCGCCCCCGCUACAGAUGCUCGCGCCGGUGGUGCCGCGAUGUCCUCUCCCCGUGGUGCCGCCGCUGGUGCCGUCCUGGAAGCGUCGAGUGCAGGGAACGACACCCUGGGCGCAACCACCUCCACUGGUGCGGGUGGUGUAGGGAUCUGAGUCUCCCUGGCAACCGCCUGCUGCAGCAGAAGGUCCUCUAGGCGCUUCAUCCGCACUUCCUGUCGAAGCGCCAUGUCCGCCUGUCGCGUCACCAAAUCAGUGAGGGCUGCCAGCUGACCCUUCAACUCACGGACCUCGCCGGAUCCGGAGGUAGCGAAGGUCUCAGCCUCCUCGAACUGUGCCGCAUUGUCCGCCCCCGCAGAUUGAGAGCGCGUAAUCGGCAUCGUCACUACAAAACAUAAAAGCGCAAGUUAGUAACCCGCGCUAUCGAAUCCCCGCUCAAAUAACAAUACCCAAAUCAUGCGAAAGUAAGGAAGUGUUAUCCACAAAUAACUCCCGAUGUUACGUUGUCGGCCGCCAACGUAACCCUCCGCGAAGUUAGAAGCCAUACACUCCGAUUAAACUCUAACUUUUUAGAGUUGUCAUAAAACCCAAUCAUAAUACUUUCGCUCACAAGUCAAAUAGACCUCGUCUCUUACGAGCCUAUUUCCUAUAGUCCAACUGGCCUAAGGUUUACUAGGUCCUCUAAGACUCAACCCUAGGCUCUGAUACCAAAUUAAUCUGUCACGCCCCGGGACCGGCAGAGGCCCUCUCGGCAGCGCGCCCAGACCCGCCAUAUGUCUACACAUAUAAGGCGUCUACAACAACAGCGAAAAAUAAAGCAAGAAAGCAAAAGAGUCUAACGAUAUCAGAGCAAAGUGAAUAUCUAAGUUCUACACAGAGGGGUAAGUAUAAAGAUGAAAUCCACAGAUAAAGACAUAGAGUGGUACAAAGAAAAUCCCAAAUGCAAAACUAAGCAUAAAGAGUAUAUAUGUGGUCUCUCUAUACAUGGUUCUCAAAAUCUCUCUCUCUCAUACAAAAAGGGUAGAGUAAACCACCUAAGCUCACACGUAGCUCCCAGCUAACUAGCUACGCGACUCCCUUGCCGCGAUCCCGUGCCUCCGCCGAUGCCGAAGGCUCUGAAAAAAAACAUCAAGAAAAAGAGGGCGUGAGAACUAUAAUUUAUAGUUCCCAGUGGGCAAUUACUGACCUGAGCUCAAUGCACCACUAGGCCCAAAAGAAAAGGGUAAGUCCAAAAAGCAACAAUAAUAAUAAAUGGUUUGCAUUUAAGGAAGUAUGAUUAAAAUGCUAAACUACUAAGUCGCAAAUAAACAUGAUGUCAAAUAUGUAGUACAUCUACUUUAUCAAAACGAAGUAUGUCCAUGCAUGACUAAUAUGCCCCAACAUAACGAGCAAGUAGGUAUCAUGAUCCACUAUAUCAAUGUAUGAUGAAUAUGCUCUAUCAUGGUAGUAAGUAUACUAUGAUGCAAUAAAUAAGACUCAUGUAUACUACAAGUCCCAACGCUAUGCUAUAAGUAUGUCAAGGUAAUCCAACUACUAAACCUAUCUAGUAGUGAUAGUCAUUUUCCGGUUCAAUAUCAUUAUUUCCAACAUGUUCUAGGACCUACAUAUUGUAGUCCAGCUUGUGCCACCUAAGUGUCGGUGGUAGCUCCAGCAUUCCCACUCUAGGAAUGAGUCUAUCCCUCCCGACCCCGUAGGUUUCUCGAUACCGCACGAGCGAAUAUAAGUCGCGUAGGCCAACUCCGGAGUGCCGGCUUAUAAGGAACGACCCUCACAAGCAUGUGCGAAUGAGCACAAAUGGCAAGUAAGCGUAGUCAACGUCUCAAAUACUCGAUCAUCAUGUCUCUAACAUGGUAAUAGUCACUAGCAUCUCAAAGAUCUAGCUCUAGGUCACAAUGUGAAGUUCCAACACUCACUAUGCUUAGCGUNGAUAUCGCAUGAGCGAACAUAAGUCGCGUAGGCCAACUCCGGAGUGCCGACUUGUAGGGAGCGACCCUCACAAGUAUGUGCGAAUGAGCACAAAUGGCAAGCAAGCGUAGUCAACGUCUCAAAUACCCGAUCAUCAUGUCUCUAACAUGGUAAUAGUCACUAGCAUCUCAAAGAUCUAGCUCUAGGUCACAAUGUGAAGUUCCAACACUCACUAUGCUUAGCGCCUCUUUAUGACACUUAAGCUUGUUAUAAGUCAACACAUUUCAUGAUCUAUGCUCCAUUCAUGACUUUAGUACUAGGUUCUAAUUUAAUCCGAGCUCAAUGCCCCUUUAUGACAUUAGCCCAAUUAUUAACAAGUGGUACAAGUCCCCGAGCCUCCUUGUGGCACUAUAAUAGUUUUAAUAUCCAAUUGAGGUCUAAGUUCAUAGGCACUUUACGUACGUCAUUUCUACUAGGUAAAUAUGAACCCAAGUCUCUCAUAAGAAUGCUAAUGCACAUAUACGCCUCACAUGCAAGUUCUCUACUUCAUAGAAGUCUAAAAAUACAUUGUACAUAACAUAGGCAUUUUAAGCAUUCUAAAAUUCAUAAUAAAUAUAUCUAACAUGAUUAUGCAUGCUUUAUGAUUUAACGAUACUCAAAUCAUCAUAAAUGAGGUUUUCUCAUGUGUGGCUAGGUCAAACCCACCGAACCAUCUCGGAGUCCUACGUUUCGCCGAACGGAGUUGUCCACGAGUCUCUAAGUACCCUAAAAGUAAGGAGCAAAGAGAUACACAAGCGUUACGAGCAACUCUAGGCUUAAACAUUAACCAUCCCAAGCAAAGGGCAAAAACUCACCUAGGGAGUAGAAAAUCUCUCUCAAGCUCCAAAAGAGAGCUAAAUCCUUUCCAAUCCAACCCAAAGAAAGGUUCUAAUCCAAUUAAUUUAGCUCAAAAGGCCCUAAAUUCAAAAUGCCCAAAAUCAACCCUAAACUCACAUUCUAGGGUUUCAUCUCAAGAAAACCUUCAAUUCAUGAAAUCUAGAGGAAAGAACAAGUCACUUACCUCUAAGAAGCUUCAAUCCAAGCUCAAAACCCUCUAGGUUCAAAGAUCUUCCCUCAACUAAGCUCCAAAUCCAAGCUCCAAGCUUCAACCAUGGAGGAAAAGCAUAAAAAGGGGAAAAGAGAAGGAUCAAGCCACCAAAAACACAAGCAGAAAUAAAAGAAGAGGGAAUGGGAAGGUGUGGAAGGGUCCCUUACCUCUCUCCCUGUUGUUCCAAGCUCAUGGAACAGCCCUAGGGGCGUGGGUGGUAAUAUAGAGAAGCCAUAUUGCAAAAACACCCCUGCAGUUUCGACCAUUCAGAAACUGUCACUGCGUACCGGUACACGGGCACGCGUACCGGUAUACCUCCCACGAAAAUGCCAAACCCUAGCCUCGGGUUGGCUGGGAAGCGGUCUGUGUACCGGUACACAAGCCCGCACCGGUACAACCAUCAACCCUAUACCGGAACAGCCAUCAACCCUGUACCGGUACACGGCCUGCUUAAGGCUACCCGAGAGCUGACCAAAAAUCCGACUUUUCGGGUUUUGGUGCAAAGCUUUAAACCUCACUUCUUGGAAUUCGAUCCAUAGGUCGGAACACUGUCUACGACCCACCAGAAAGUCUGAAAAAACUAAGAACACAUCCAAUCACUCGAACCUCGCAAUUUGCAAAGGUCCAGUGUGUUACAGUUGUUGAUAGACAUGUAGAGCAGGUUGCAUGUAUAUACUAUAUAUAUCUGUGGACCCUGGGUCCAGGCAACACAUCAAAUCCUUUGUCGUGUGUUUCGAUCUUGUUUAUCGUGGUUCGGCGUUGUACGUCCUUGCACCUGGCUUCGGCCAAGGCACCGGUCUCUUUUUGCCGAUCUUCGUUUUGAGCAUAUCAGCAUGAUUUAGUCACAGCACUGUGGACACGAGGUUGGUUUGGCCACCAACCAAGGGGUGUACGUAUCCGGAUAGGUCGUCGGUGACGCAUGAAUAAGUUGGCAGUAUCUGCUCUGUGACAGGUAACGCUUGAGGUCUGCGGACCAAUAUAGCAGCAUCAGAUUGGGUUUGGUUUGGACUAUUUACCCUUGAGGCAUCCAAUCAGUUAAGUUUUUUAUUACAGUAGUAGUUUCGUUCUUGCUCAGUUAUUAUCCUGUUUUUAUUACUACUGUAGUUGCUCUUAUAUCACAUCAUGCUCAUAUCUGUAGUUCUGUUUCAUAUCAGCAUAUAUAUUUGUUUAUCUAUCUCCUUUGGUUUUCGGUGAUUACGGCUUGCCUUCGUGGCUCUGUUGUACCCACUGAGAAACCAUGGUUGCGGUUUCUUACCCCCCAUUCCUCCCAGGUGACAUGGACGAGGAGUUAGAUUUUUGGGCUCGACGGGAGGACGAUCUAGCUAGUCUAGUAUAGCAACCGUCACCCUGGUUACUUUCAUUUCGGCACUUAGUAGUUUUAAUAAUAAAUGGUUCAGUUAGACGAUCCUCAUGUUUGUUUGAAUGUUGGUGAUUUGGCUUCAGUGAAUCUGUGAUGUUUUUCUUAUGCAUGUGAUUUUAGAUUGUGGAUUUGUGGAUAUGGUUUUAUAGAUAUUCAGUUUAUGCAUUUAUGUCCUUAUGUAUUGUGGUUUUCUACCCCUCGAGGUAGUCGGUUUUCAAAAUAGAGUUUUCGAGUGGGGAAACAGUUUUAAAAAGAUUUUCAAAUGGUUUUCAUGAAUGAAUGAAUUAGAGUUUAAAAACAAAAGCUUCCGUGUGGGGAGCAUUUUUAAAUAGGAUGUUUGUUGUAUUGUGCAUUGCAUCAUUCAGCGCCUAAGGAGUGCUUAGAGGCAUCCAUCUUCUCUAAGGAUCGUUAGCUGUAUAAAAAUGCAUAUCAUGAAUUGGUUGUUGAUUGGUAAAUGUAGGUUGUGGUUGAGAUCCUGUUGUAUAGUUGGUACGCCGUGCAAAUACAAAAGAGACUCUGUCCGAGUGGACUGAGAAACUUUGUAUUUGUGGCGGAUCUGUACGUCACGUGGGCCAGGAAAAAAAAAAAAUUGGCACGUCUUCCGCAACUCUGUUUCAAAAUGGUAAUGAAUUUUAAAAAGGCUUUUAAAAUCGGCCCCGGGGCGUGACAGAUUAAGAUGGUAUUAGAGAGUGAAACAACUACAACUGCAUUUACAAACUUUCUAACUGAACCAUUGGUUAGGUUGACCAUAGGAUAACCAUAAGAUCGUAGGCACGUACGAGUGCGGGGUAUUCGAGAUUUAGUCUCGAGGUUAUCGAGCUAGGAGGCUCGAAGGUUAAUUUGUGUUUGUUAUCUCGUGCUCCUUGUGUUGCAGGUUAUGGUAUGUACUCGCUUUGGUGUUAGGAGUGGGGGCGUUGAGUGGUCUAGCUCUGAGCAGCAAGAUGUCGACGGGCUGCUUUUGCUUUUGUGAUUGCCCGACCUGCAACACGGGACAUGGGAGCUUUUGCAAGUCAAUCCACAGGCACAGGGUUCGCUCUUUUGAGUUUUGUCGGAUCUCUAUUCGUGCAUUCUAGUGCAUUAUGGGGUUAUUGGUCGGAUUGGUUUUUGUGUCAUGUCUCCAACUUGUCGUUGGCGAUAGAUCUGUGGGUAUUUGACCUUUCUUUCGAUAAGUACGUUGGCUGCAGACAACGUAUUGUCAAAAGUUAGGACAAGAUACCCUAUCCCUUUUGGGGAAUAUCUGGAUUGGGUCUGUAAUUCUUUUCUCUUGCAUAAGAGGUGUUAGUAUUCUUUUUGAUCAUCUAGUGAGCCUGGUGAUUGGCUCUGAGGUCGCAGCUUGUGAUGUUGUACAAGGGAUAUGUUUUGGCUUAUUGUGGGUAUCUUGGAUUGGAUUGGGUUGCUGUUCAGUCACUUGGUGAGAGGUACGUCGGAGUCUCAUUGAGACUGACAUUUAGUGUUGCAUGAAACAUCGAUCGCUUGGGUCCCUUGGGGACGGUAGCGACAGGGUCUCGUAGAGAGAGAUGUUGAGCAUCACUGGUGGUUUUGAUCGCUUGUUGCGAGUUGCAACUCUGUUCACCUAGUGAUGGACAUGCAUUGAUUUAUGUUGAUCUGUUUGUACCCGAAUGAGAGUUGCGCAAGCUUAAUUGUAAGGCAAUUGGUACUGGCAGCCUUAGACCUUUUUUGUCUAGGCAAAUGGUUAGGUCUUGGACGUAAGAGAGUCGGGUGCCAUCGAGGGGUUCCGAUGGAUAAGUUUCGGCUUCGUUUGGUUAUAGUUCGGUUCAUUGGGAGGUUGUAGCCUCCGAGGUGAGUGUUGGUACUCUAGCAUAGGAUCACCCCUAUCUGUGAGCAAGUUUCGAAGACGAAACUUUCUUUUAGGGGGGAAUGAUGUAAGGACUGAGAAUUUGUCUAUAUAGUCAGACUCUUUGUUGAUUAUGUUUUUGUGUGUAAUUUAAUUACAAAAACACUCGUCAAGUUUCAGGAGAAACCGAGCUAGAACUGAGAUUCUACGCGAUUUCCAAGUUUCACUUAAAGUAAAUAGUAACUAGGUUUUCCGGAGAAGUCACGGUGGGAAGUUGGCUUCUGGCACGUAUCGGACACCAUUCAUAGCAGUCCAAUAGCUCGUUUCGACCGGUUCAACUAUUCUGGAACUAAUGGCGCUGACGGAUUUUGAGUUUGGCGCACGGAUUUUGAGAAAAUCUGAAAAUACAUGUUUUAUAUGUAUUUGUGCAUAGUUUCUUCCGUUGGAGAGUUGGAACGCAUUUCGUCAUGAAUCCGCGAUCGAUCGAGGUGAAACGAAAUCGUAGCUUUGUUGUCUCUGUCGUGCUGGUCGCACUGAUGCGAUCCGUUCGUAAAUCUGACGGACGGAUCUGCGGAGAUCGCCUGUUGUUCGAAGAGAGGUCAGUGAUGGCAAAACGAUAUUUCCGCAAAAGUUGCAACAUUUUAUGUACCGUUUUUCGUGAAACUGGACGUGGAGGGGUAUUCGCGUGUUUUACACGCGCUGUGGAGGACUCAAUAUAAAAUAUUAAGUUUUGGGAGGGCUUUUUCGCAAUUGGAGCCUUUAUAUAUAUUUAGCUCCUAGGGUUUUUGAUCCACCUAACCCUAACUCUAGCCCCCAGCUGCCCUAGCCGCACCCUGCCACCUCCAUCUCCCUCUUUCCUGCCCCUGCCGCACACCACGGCCGUCGCCGACUGAGCCCCGGCCGGCCAACCGCCGCCGCAGCCUGGAUCUCCUUCCCUCUCCAUCCCUCUC